rnacentral:rRNA from 1 species
AUUGAACGCUGGCAGCAGGCCUAACACAUGUAAGUCGAGCGGAUGAAGGGAGCUUGCUCCUGGAUUCAGCGGCGGACGGGUGAGUAAUGCCUAGGAAUCUGCCUGGUAGUGGGGGAUAACGUCCGGAAACGGGCGCUAAUACCGCAUACGUCCUGAGGGAGAAAGUGGGGGAUCUUCGGACCUCACGCUAUCAGAUGAGCCUAGGUCGGAUUAGCUAGUUGGUGGGGUAAAGGCCUACCAAGGCGACGAUCCGUAACUGGUCUGAGAGGAUGAUCAGUCACACUGGAACUGAGACACGGUCCAGACUCCUACGGGAGGCAGCAGUGGGGAAUAUUGGACAAUGGGCGAAAGCCUGAUCCAGCCAUGCCGCGUGUGUGAAGAAGGUCUUCGGAUUGUAAAGCACUUUAAGUUGGGAGGAAGGGCAGUAAGUUAAUACCUUG